AUUGAACGCUAGCGGCAGGCCUAACACAUGCAAGUCGAACGAGUGGCGGACGGGUGAGUAAUGUAUGGGGACUGCCCGCUGGAGGGGGAUAACUACUGGAAACGGUAGCUAAUACCGCAUACUAUCGGAUAACCCAUAUGGGUUUAGCUAGUAGGUGAGGUAAUGGCUCACCUAGGCGACGAUCCCUAGCUGGUCUGAGAGGAUGAUCAGCCACACUGGAACUGAGACACGGCCCAGACUCCUACGGAGGCAGCAGUGGGGAAUAUUGCACAAGGGGCGAAAGCCUGAUGCAGCCAUGCCGCGUGUAUGAAGAAGGCCUUAGGGUUGUAAAGUACUUUCAGUCGGGAGGCGUUACCGACAGAAGAAGCACCGGCUAACUCCGUGCCAGCAGCCGCGGUAAUAC
rnacentral:rRNA from 1 species